rnacentral:rRNA from 1 species
GUCGAGAAUCUUUCACAAUGGGGGCAACCCUGAUGGAGCGACGCCGCGUGGAGGAUAAGGUCUUCGGAUUGUAAACUCCUGUCAUGCGUGAACAAGGUUGCUUGGAUAAUACCUGAGCAAAUUGAUGGUAGCACAAGAGGAAGAGACGGCUAACUCUGUGCCAGCAGCCGCGGUAAUACAGAGGUCUCAAGCGUUGUUCGGAAUCACUGGGCGUAAAGGGUGCGUAGGUGGCGUGGCAAGUCAGAUGUGAAAGCCCGGGGCUCAACCUCGGAACUGCAUCCGAUACUGCCAUGCUAGAGUACUGGAGGGGUGACUAGAAUUCUCGGUGUAGCAGUGAAAUGCGUAGAUAUCGAGAGGAAUACCAAAGGCGUAGGCAGGUCACUGGACAGUUACUGACACUGAGGCACGAAGGCCAGGGGAGCGAACGGGAUUAGAAACCCUUGUAGUCC